rnacentral:lncRNA from 1 species
CGUGAUCGUGAGUGCCCGUAGACUCAUGGCCAGAUUAUCUGGCCUCCAGCUGCCUGUGCGCUGAUGGUGCAAAGACCUGUCAAGCUGGGGAAGCGAGGGCUGAUGGGCUGGGAAGCCGGCAGGCUUGGAGACCUCCCUCCAUGUUUCCUGCUCCAUGUGCUUGCUUCUGCUUUCCUCCCGUUUAUUUCCCUCUCUCCUUUCCUUCCGAGGCUAUGUGGUAAGUAAAUGAGCAAAGACUCAAAAAUGAUGUCCAAACAAAUCCAUCCAACCUGGAAUAUCCUGAGGGUGAAAGGAGAGCUUUUGGUACUUAUGACAGGACAAGGACUCACCACAGGACAGCACCUAGGUGAUCCGGUGGAGAUGCCCAGUGGCUCUGGGGAGCAG